rnacentral:lncRNA from 1 species
ACAGAACCAGGGGCAGGUCGACAGCAAGGAAACCAUAAUCAUUGAAAAUGAAAAGUACAACGUCCGUAUCGUAACCCAAGAGGUACGUUGUGCCUCAGACAUCGCGCACUGGAAAGGUUCCUCUCUGUGUUCUCUGGCCUACUACUGCAGCUGCGGCUGGGAUUUUCUUGAUCCCCUUUCACAAUUUGGGAAAAAAGGUCAUUUGACGCGCACAAACGAAGAGUUUUCAAUAUCAGUGACAUUGGCCAACAUGUAAAUGAUAACGAAGCAGUGCCAUUAUGAUUCGCCCACAUGUGCAUACUCUCAGUAAUGCAACACAUUGCCCCGUACCUGUCCACAGGUGCCUGAUCCACUAGAAAGUACAUGGAAAACAUCACCAACCAGCAG